rnacentral:snRNA from 1 species
GUCCCUUUGGAGACAUCCGAUAAAAUUGGAACGAUACAGAGAAGAUUAGCAUGGCCCCUGCGCAAGGAUGACACGCACCAAUCGAGAAAUGGUCCAAAUUUUU